UACAGAGGUCCCAAGCGUUGUUCGGAUUCACUGGGCGUAAAGGGUGCGUAGGUGGCCGGGUAAGUCUGAUGUGAAAUCUCCGAGCUUAACUCGGAAAUGGCAUUGGAUACUAUUCGGCUCGAGGGUCGGAGGGGAGACUGGAAUUCUCGGUGUAGCAGUGAAAUGCGUAGAUAUGCGGAGGAACACCGAUGGCGAAGGCAGUCCCCUGGGCCUGUACUGACGCUCAUGCACGAAAGCGUGGGGGAGCAAACAGG
rnacentral:rRNA from 1 species